rnacentral:rRNA from 1 species
AGCGUACACGGUGGAUGCCCUGGCAGUCAGAGGCGAUGAAGGACGUGCUAAUCUGCGAUAAGCGUCGGUAAGGUGAUAUGAACCGUUAUAACCGGCGAUUUCCGAAUGGGGAAACCCAGUGUGAUUCGUCACACUAUCAUUAACUGAAUCCAUAGGUUAAUGAGGCGAACCGGGGGAACUGAAACAUCUAAGUACCCCGAGGAAAAGAAAUCAACCGAGAUUCCCCCAGUAGCGGCGAGCGAACGGGGAGCAGCCCAGAGCCUGAAUCAGUGUGUGUGUUAGUGGAAGCGUCUGGAAAGGCGCGCGAUACAGGGUGACAGCCCCGUACACAAAAAUGCACAUGCUGUGAGCUCGAUGAGUAGGGCGGGACACGUGGUAUCCUGUCUGAAUAUGGGGGGACCAUCCUCCAAGGCUAAAUACUCCUGACUGACCGAUAGUGAACCAGUACCGUGAGGGAAAGGCGAAAAGAACCCCGGCGAGGGGAGUGAAAAAGAACCUGAAACCGUGUACGUACAAGCAGUGGGAGCACAGAGCAAUCUGUGUGACUGCGUACCUUUUGUAUAAUGGGUCAGCGACUUAUAUUCUGUAGCAAGGUUAACCGAAUAGGGGAGCCGAAGGGAAACCGAGUCUUAACUGGGCGUUAAGUUGCAGGGUAUAGACCCGAAACCCGGUGAUCUAGCCAUGGGCAGGUUGAAGGUUGGGUAACACUAACUGGAGGACCGAACCGACUAAUGUUGAAAAAUUAGCGGAUGACUUGUGGCUGGGGGUGAAAGGCCAAUCAAACCGGGAGAUAGCUGGUUCUCCCCGAAAGCUAUUUAGGUAGCGCCUCGUGAAUUCAUCUCCGGGGGUAGAGCACUGUUUCGGCAAGGGGGUCAUCCCGACUUACCAACCCGAUGCAAACUGCGAAUACCGGAGAAUGUUAUCACGGGAGACACACGGCGGGUGCUAACGUCCGUCGUGAAGAGGGAAACAACCCAGACCGCCAGCUAAGGUCCCAAAGUCAUGGUUAAGUGGGAAACGAUGUGGGAAGGCCCAGACAGCCAGGAUGUUGGCUUAGAAGCAGCCAUCAUUUAAAGAAAGCGUAAUAGCUCACUGGUCGAGUCGGCCUGCGCGGAAGAUGUAACGGGGCUAAACCAUGCACCGAAGCUGCGGCAGCGACGCUUAUGCGUUGUUGGGUAGGGGAGCGUUCUGUAAGCCUGUGAAGGUGUACUGUGAGGUAUGCUGGAGGUAUCAGAAGUGCGAAUGCUGACAUAAGUAACGAUAAAGCGGGUGAAAAGCCCGCUCGCCGGAAGACCAAGGGUUCCUGUCCAACGUUAAUCGGGGCAGGGUGAGUCGACCCCUAAGGCGAGGCCGAAAGGCGUAGUCGAUGGGAAACAGGUUAAUAUUCCUGUACUUGGUGUUACUGCGAAGGGGGGACGGAGAAGGCUAUGUUGGCCGGGCGACGGUUGUCCCGGUUUAAGCGUGUAGGCUGGUUUUCCAGGCAAAUCCGGAAAAUCAAGGCUGAGGCGUGAUGACGAGGCACUACGGUGCUGAAGCAACAAAUGCCCUGCUUCCAGGAAAAGCCUCUAAGCAUCAGGUAACAUCAAAUCGUACCCCAAACCGACACAGGUGGUCAGGUAGAGAAUACCAAGGCGCUUGAGAGAACUCGGGUGAAGGAACUAGGCAAAAUGGUGCCGUAACUUCGGGAGAAGGCACGCUGAUAUGUAGGUGAAGUCCCUCGCGGAUGGAGCUGAAAUCAGUCGAAGAUACCAGCUGGCUGCAACUGUUUAUUAAAAACACAGCACUGUGCAAACACGAAAGUGGACGUAUACGGUGUGACGCCUGCCCGGUGCCGGAAGGUUAAUUGAUGGGGUUAGCGCAAGCGAAGCUCUUGAUCGAAGCCCCGGUAAACGGCGGCCGUAACUAUAACGGUCCUAAGGUAGCGAAAUUCCUUGUCGGGUAAGUUCCGACCUGCACGAAUGGCGUAAUGAUGGCCAGGCUGUCUCCACCCGAGACUCAGUGAAAUUGAACUCGCUGUGAAGAUGCAGUGUACCCGCGGCAAGACGGAAAGACCCCGUGAACCUUUACUAUAGCUUGACACUGAACAUUGAGCCUUGAUGUGUAGGAUAGGUGGGAGGCUUGGAAGUGUGGACGCCAGUCUGCAUGGAGCCGACCUUGAAAUACCACCCUUUAAUGUUUGAUGUUCUAACGUUGACCCGUAAUCCGGGUUGCGGACAGUGUCUGGUGGGUAGUUUGACUGGGGCGGUCUCCUCCUAAAGAGUAACGGAGGAGCACGAAGGUUGGCUAAUCCUGGUCGGACAUCAGGAGGUUAGUGCAAUGGCAUAAGCCAGCUUGACUGCGAGCGUGACGGCGCGAGCAGGUGCGAAAGCAGGUCAUAGUGAUCCGGUGGUUCUGAAUGGAAGGGCCAUCGCUCAACGGAUAAAAGGUACUCCGGGGAUAACAGGCUGAUACCGCCCAAGAGUUCAUAUCGACGGCGGUGUUUGGCACCUCGAUGUCGGCUCAUCACAUCCUGGGGCUGAAGUAGGUCCCAAGGGUAUGGCUGUUCGCCAUUUAAAGUGGUACGCGAGCUGGGUUUAGAACGUCGUGAGACAGUUCGGUCCCUAUCUGCCGUGGGCGCUGGAGAACUGAGGGGGGCUGCUCCUAGUACGAGAGGACCGGAGUGGACGCAUCACUGGUGUUCGGGUUGUCAUGCCAAUGGCACUGCCCGGUAGCUAAAUGCGGAAGAGAUAAGUGCUGAAAGCAUCUAAGCACGAAACUUGCCCCGAGAUGAGUUCUCCCUGACUCCUUGA